rnacentral:rRNA from 1 species
GAUAAAUCCGGGUGUGCAGCGGGGGUGAUGCUGAGGGUGCAAGCGUUAAUUGGAAUUACUGCGGUGAAAGAGCGAGUGGGCGGUUUGUUAAGGCGGGUGUGAAAGCCCUGGGCUGAACCUGGGAACUGCGCUUGUGACUGCCAGGCUAGAGUACGGCAGAGGGGGGUGGAAUUCCACGUGUAGCAGUGAAAUGCGUAGAGAUGUGGAGGAACACCAAUGGCGAAGGCAGCCCCCUGGGUCGAUACUGACGCUCAUGCACGAAAGCGUGGGUAGCGAAUGGGAUUAGAUACCCUGGUAGUC